rnacentral:rRNA from 1 species
UACGGAAGGCAGCAGUGGGGAAUAUUGGACAAUGGGCGAAAGCCUGAUCCAGCCAUGCCGCAUGAGUGAAGAAGGCCUUCGGGUUGUAAAGCUCUUUUAGUGAGAAAGAUAAUGACGGUACUCACAGAAGAAGUCCUGGCUAACUCCGUGCCAGCAGCCGCGGUAAUACGGAGAGGGCUAGCGUUAUUCGGAAUUAUUGGGCGUAAAGAGCGCGUAGGCUGAUUAGUAAGUUAAAAGUGAAAUCCCAAAGCUUAACUUUGGAAUUGCUUUUUAAAACUGCUAGUCUAGAGAUUUGAAAGAGGAUAGAGGAAUUCCUAGUGUAGAGGUGAAAUUCGUAAAUAUUAGGAGGAACACCAGUGGCGAAGGCGUCUAUCUGGUUCAAAUCUGACGCUGAGGCGCGAAGGGCGUGGGGAGCGAAACAGGGAUUAGAUACC